UAAAAACAGCGAAAACGGCUAAAGACGGUUUAUCGGAAAUCGAUUUAAAAAUAAAUGCUCUAUCGUAGGCAUUGGAAGAUGACCAUAUCAAAACACGACACUGUAUAUCCUAAGUUGUUCCUGAAAAAAGAGAAAUCAGAGGAGCUUAUAGAAAUUACUUAAUUGGCUGCGUUCUAUGUUUCGAAGACAGGUGUACGAGCAGAAAAUUAUCGAAAAUGAAUUUAUCCUGGUUGUUAUUGCAUGUCUACAGAUUUCGGUAUUCAGAAUGUCUUCAAAAAAUGAGCUCCAGUGAGUAAACUCAAUUCAAAUCAAACGUUAUCAAUUCAAAAUUGUUCUGUCCCAUUUAUGUGAUAUUAGACCUUUUUAAUUAGGUGGCAGUAAUCUUAGCUGAAUAAUGACUUACUGGAAAAAUUCUAAAAUCACAGUCUGCCGUGCUUUGAAGCUGGCAAGUAUUGGUGCUUUAAACAUAAACCCAUGUUCAGACAGAUACAUCACGUAUGGCCAAAACAAAACCCAUCACGUUGAAGAAGUUUACAAAGCUGGGUACUCUUUCAUCAAUGUUAAUACCAAGUCCUGAUCGCUUGGAAGUUAAUUUAAUGUCCUUUGAUUUUUAU